rnacentral:rRNA from 1 species
UACGGAGGGUGCAAGCGUUGUCCGGAAUCAUUGGGCGUAAAGCGCACGUAGGCGGCUCUUUAAGUCUCUUGGUGAAAGGCUGGGGCUCAACCCCAUGCAUGCCGGGGAUACUGGGGAGCUGGAGACAGGUAGAGGCCAGCGGAAUUCCGGGUGUAGCGGUGGAAUGCGUAGAGAUCCGGAAGAACACCGGAGGCGAAGGCGGCUGGCUGGACCUGAUCUGACGCUGAGGUGCGAAAGCGUGGGGAGCGAGCAGG